GGACUUCUAAUUUCUAUAUUAUUCGCUAAUGAUGAUUUUUUUUUUUUUUUUCAACACCAAACUCUCAUUGAUUAGCUUUAAACAAGCCAAUUGUGUGGACAAUUGCUAAUGAUGAUUCUUUAAUCCAUUAUACGUAAUUGUCUUGACACAGAAGCUCAGACUUGGCCGACAGUGAACAAAUGUUACCGAGAACAAAGUACGGUUUAGAUACG
rnacentral:lncRNA from 1 species